rnacentral:rRNA from 1 species
AUACGUAGGGGGCAAGCGUUAUCCGGAUUCACUGGGUGUAAAGGGAGCGUAGACGGCUGUGCAAGUCUGAUGUGAAACUCCGCGGCUCAACCGCGGGCCUGCAUUGGAAACUGUACAGCUUGAGAACUGGAGGGGCAGGCGGAAUUCCUGGUGUAGCGGUGAAAUGCGCAGAUAUCAGGAGGAACACCGGCGGCGAAGGCGGCCUGCUGGACAGCAUCUGACGUUGAGGCUCGAAAGCGUGGGGAGCAAACAGGAUUAGAUCCCCUGGUAGUCCACGCCGUAAACGAUGAAUACUAGGUGUCGGGGGGCAAGGCCCUUCGGUGCCGCCGCAAACGCAUUAAGUAUUCCACCUGGGGAGUACGUUCGCAAGAAUGAAACUCAAAUGAAUUGACGGGG